AAAAAAUCGAAAAACACAAUCAUUAACAUCAUCAUCAGUAUACAUCAGAAGAAACGCAUAUCUUUUAUAUAAAAAUAUAUAAUUACAUGCUACUAAACGUGACUAUAUAUAAUUACAUGUAUAUGACCAUAUGUGACUAUAUAUGACUACAUGUAUAUGACCAUAUGUGACUAUAUAUGACUACAUGUAUAUGACUAUAUGUGACUAUAUAUGACUACAUGUAUAUGACCAUAUGUGACUAUAUAUGACUACAUGUAUAUAUGACCAUAUGUGACUAUAUAUGACCAUAUGUGACUAUAUAUGACUACAUGUAUAUGACCAUAUGUGACUAUAUAUGACUACAUGUAUAUGACUAUAUGUGACUAUAUAUAACUACAUGUAUAUGACCAUAUGUGACUAUAUAUAACUACGUGUGACUAACUAUAUGAGUAUAGUCAUGUAUAGUAUAAUUUGAAUUUAUAGCUUCAAAUCUCACUUUUCAACCCGACAACAAC
rnacentral:lncRNA from 1 species